rnacentral:pre_miRNA from 12 species
AUCUAGUUGGCAGUGAUACUUCUUGUGGUGGAUGGGUGUAUCUCUAGUGCAUGUUUUUUUAUAUCUCAUGACUAGAUUUUCACUCGUUCAUCAAGAGAUUUAAAUCGGCAACCACUUCAU